AAAAUGACUCUCGGCAAUGGAUAUCUCGGCUCUCGCAUCGAUGAAGAGCGCAGCGAAAUGCGAUACGUGGUGCGAAUUGCAGAAUCCCGCGAACCAUCGAGUCUUUGAACGCAAGUUGCGCCCUAGGCCAACCGGCCAAGGGCACGUCUGCCUGGGCGUCAAGC
rnacentral:rRNA from 1 species